AUAAAGUUUAAUUUUAACUUAAAAAAAUUAAUUAAAAUUUAUUUUACAUUUAAAUUUUUGUUUGAUUUUAUUUAUAUUUAUUUUUAAAAAAUUUAUGUAAUUUAUUUAUUCUUAGUAAUUAAUUUUAAUAUAAAAAAGAAAUUUUUUAUUAGUAAUUUUUUUUUGUAUUAGUAAAAAUUGUGCCAGCAACUGCGGUUAUACAAUUAAUACAAUUAUUUUUUUUUAUUUUAAGUUAAAUUGAUAAUAUUUAUAUAAAUAAAUAUAUUAUUUAUAAAUUAUAAAUUAAUUUAUUAGGUUAAAUUUUAAAUUAAUAAAUUUUUAUAUUCAAUAAAUUUUUAAUCUUAAAAAUUUUUUUUAUAAACUAGGAUUAGAUACCCUAUUAUUAAAAAUGUAAUCUAAUUAAAUAGAGUAGUAAUAGUUAUGUUCUUAAAACUUAAUAAAUUUGGCGGUAUUUUAAUCUUUUUAGAGGAACUUGUUUCAUAAUUGAUAAUCCUCAUUUUAUCUUACUUAAAUUUAUUAAAUUUGUAUAUCGUCGUCAUAAGAAUAUCUUAAAAAAGUUAAAAAUUUUCUAAAAUUUUAAUUAAUAAUAAUGUCAGAUCAAGGUGCAGUUUAUAUUUAAGAAGAAAUGAGUUACAAUAAAUUUAUUUAAACGAAUUUGAUUUUGUAAUGAUUAAUGAAGGUGGAUUUAUUAGUAAAAUAAAUAAUUAAAUUUAUUUGAUUAUAGUUCUAAAAUAUGUACAUAUCGCCCGUCGCUCUCGUUAUUAAAAUGAGAUAAGUCGUAACAUAGUAGAUGUACUGGAAGGUGUUUCUAGAAUAUC
rnacentral:ncRNA from 1 species